rnacentral:rRNA from 1 species
AUGGCGACCGGCGCACGGGUGAGUAACGCGUAUGCAACCUGCCCGAUACCGGGGUAUAGCCCAUGGAAACGUGGAUUAACACCCCAUAGUACUUUUAUCCUGCCUGGGAUGUGAGUUAAAUGUUCAAGGUAUCGGAUGGGCAUGCGUCCUAUUAGUUAGUUGGCGGGGUAACAGCCCACCAAGACGAUGAUAGGUAGGGGUUCUGAGAGGAAGGUCCCCCACGUUGGAACUGAGACACGGUCCAA